rnacentral:rRNA from 1 species
GGGAAUCUGCCCUUGGGUUCGGAAUAACAGUGAGAAAUUACUGCUAAUACCGGAUGAUGUCUUCGGACCAAAGAUUUAUCGCCCAGGGAUGAGCCCGCGUAGGAUUAGGUAGUUGGUGGGGUAAUGGCCUACCAAGCCGACGAUCCUUAGCUGGUCUGAGAGGAUGAUCAGCCACACUGGGACUGAGACACGGCCCAGACUCCUACGGGAGGCAGCAGUGGGGAAUAUUGGACAAUGGGCGAAAGCCUGAUCCAGCAAUGCCGCGUGAGUGAUGAAGGCCUUAGGGUUGUAAAGCUCUUUUACCCGGGAUGAUAAUGACAGUACCGGGAGAAUAAGCUCCGGCUAACUCCGUGCCAGCAGCCGCGGUAAUACGGAGGGAGCUAGCGUUGUUCGGAAUUACUGGGCGUAAAGCGCGCGUAGGCGGCUGCUCAAGUCAGAGGUGAAAGCCCGGGGCUCAACCCCGGAACUGCCUUUGAAACUAGGUAGCUAGAAUCUUGGAGAGGUCAGUGGAAUUCCGAGU